rnacentral:rRNA from 1 species
GAACGAUGAAGCCCAGCUUGCUGGGUGGAUUAGUGGCGAACGGGUGAGUAACACGUGAGCAACCUGCCCCUGACUCUGGGAUAAGCGCUGGAAACGGCGUCUAAUACUGGAUAUGUCCCGUCACCGCAUGGUGUGCGGGUGGAAAGAUUUUUCGGUUGGGGAUGGGCUCGCGGCCUAUCAGCUUGUUGGUGAGGUAAUGGCUCACCAAGGCGUCGACGGGUAGCCGGCCUGAGAGGGUGACCGGCCACACUGGGACUGAGACACGGCCCAGACUCCUACGGGAGGCAGCAGUGGGGAAUAUUGCACAAUGGGCGGAAGCCUGAUGCAGCAACGCCGCGUGAGGGAUGACGGCCUUCGGGUUGUAAACCUCUUUUAGCAGGGAAGAAGCGAGAGUGACGGUACCUGCAGAAAAAGCACCGGCUAACUACGUGCCAGCAGCCGCGGUAAUACGUAGGGUGCAAGCGUUAUCCGGAAUUAUUGGGCGUAAAGAGCUCGUAGGCGGUCUGUCGCGUCUGCUGUGAAAUCCCGAGGCUCAACCUCGGGCUUGCAGUGGGUACGGGCAGACUAGAGUGCGGUAGGGGAGAUUGGAAUUCCUGGUGUAGCGGUGGAAUGCGCAGAUAUCAGGAGGAACACCGAUGGCGAAGGCAGAUCUCUGGGCCGUAACUGACGCUGAGGAGCGAAA